CCUACGGGUGGCAGCAGUGAGGAAUAUUGGUCAAUGGACGAGAGUCUGAACCAGCCAAGUAGCGUGAAGGAUGACUGCCCUAUGGGUUGUAAACUUCUUUUAUAUGGGAAUAAAACGUUCCACGUGUGGGAUUUUGUAUGUACCAUAUGAAUAAGGAUCGGCUCACUCCGUGCCAGCAGCCGCGGUAAUACGGAGGAUCCGAGCGUUAUCCGGAUUUAUUGGGUUUAAAGGGAGCGUAGGUGGAUUGUUAAGUCAGUUGUGAAAGUUUGCGGCUCAACCGUAAAAUUGCAGUUGAAACUGGCAGUCUUGAGUACAGUAGAGGUGGGCGGAAUUCGUGGUGUAGCGGUGAAAUGCUUAGAUAUCACGAAGAACUCCGAUUGCGAAGGCAGUUCACUGGACUGCAACUGACACUGAGGCUCGAAAGUGUGGGUAUCAAACAGGAUUAGAUACCCCAGUAGUC
rnacentral:rRNA from 1 species